rnacentral:rRNA from 1 species
CAGUCGCCUCGGUAAUACGGAGGAUCCAAGCGUUAUCCGGAAUCAUUGGGUUUAAAGGGUCCGUAGGCGGUCUUGUAAGUCAGUGGUGAAAGCCCAUCGCUCAACGGUGGAACGGCCAUUGAUACUGCAGGACUUGAAUUAUUGGGAAGUAACUAGAAUAUGUAGUGUAGCGGUGAAAUGCUUAGAGAUUACAUGGAAUACCAAUUGCGAAGGCAGGUUACUAAGAUUUAACUGACGCUGAUGGACGAAAGCGUGGGGAGCGAACAGGAUUAGAUACCCCCGUAGUCCCUGUCUCUUAUAC